UACAGAGGGUGCGAGCGUUAAUCGGAAUUACUGGGCGUAAAGCGUGCGUAGACGGUAGCGUAAGUCAGAUGUGAAAGCCCCGGGCUCAACCUGGGAAUUGCAUUUGAGACUGCUCUGCUCGGGUGCGGAAGAGGGAAGCGGAAUUUCCGGUGUAGCGGUGAAAUGCGUAGAUAUCGGAAGGAACACCAGUGGCGAAAGCGGCUUCCUGGUCCGACACCGACGUUCAGGCACGAAAAGCGUGGGGAGCAAACAGG
rnacentral:rRNA from 1 species